CCUACGGGUGGCUGCAGUGGGGAAUAUUUGGCAAUGGGCGCAAGCCUGACCCAGCAACGCCGCGUGAAGGAAGAAGGCUUUCGGGUUGUAAACUUCUUUUCUCAGGGACGAAGCAAGUGAUGGUACCUGAGGAAUAAGCCACGGCUAACUACGUGCCAGCAGCCGCGGUAAGACGUAGGUGGCAAGCGUUAUCCGGAUUUACUGGGUGUAAAGGGAGUGUAGGCGGGACUGCACGUCAGAUGUGAAAACCACGGGCUCAACCUGUGGACUGCAUUUGAAACUGGAGUUCUUGAGUACUGGAGAGGCAGACGGAAUUCCUAGUGUAGCGGUGAAAUGCGUAGAUAUUAGGAGGAACACCAGUGGCGAAGGCGGUCUGCUGGACAGCAACUGACGCUGAGGCGCGAAAGCGUGGGGAGCAAACAGGAUUAGAUACCCUAGUAGUC
rnacentral:rRNA from 1 species